rnacentral:rRNA from 1 species
AUGCUCUCGCUGCGUAGCGACGCGCGCCACCUGGCGGCGCCGGUGGUGCGCGGCGGGGACGACGUAUGGCUCGGGGUCAGCGGCGGCGCGGGGCCGGCUCCCGAGGGGCCAGCGCCAGCGGCGGCUUUCCUGCUUCCCCCUGUGUCCUUGGACGCGAGGGCCAAGCAGCUCGUCGGGGUUAAUGAAGAGGACCACCUGAUUCUUGCACAUCAGAGCUACAAAUCAGGAAAAUAUAGUCAGGCACUGGAGCAUGGAAAUGCUGUUUACGAGAAGAAUCCACGUCGAACUGAUAAUCUACUUCUCCUUGGGGCUAUUUAUUUCCAGCUUCGUGAUUAUGAUCUUUGCAUCGCAAAGAAUGAAGAGGCUCUUGCCAUUGACCCUCAAUUUGCAGAGUGCUAUGGCAACAUGGCAAAUGCCUGGAAGGAGAAGGGCGACAUCGAUCUUGCAAUUCGUUUCUAUUUAACUGCUAUUCAGCUACGCCCAAAUUUUUGUGAUGCAUGGUCAAACCUUGCAAGUGCAUAUACACGCAAAGGUAGACUGAAUGAAGCAGCACAAUGCUGUAAACAAGCGCUUCUCCUGAACCCACGUUUGGUUGAUGCACAUAGUAAUCUGGGGAAUCUAAUGAAAGCCCAGGGUCUUGUGCAAGAGGCAUAUGCUUGCUACCUUGAAGCAAUACGAAUAGAUCCACACUUUGCAAUUGCAUGGUCGAAUCUUGCCGGCCUGUUUAUGGAGGUUGGGGACCUCAAUAAGGCUAUGCAGUAUUACAAGGAAGCUGUUAAGCUUAAGCCAUCUUUUGCUGAUGCACAUCUUAAUCAAGGGAAUGUUUACAAGGCUAUGGGAAUGCUCCAGGAGGCAGUUUCUUGUUAUCAGCGUGCUUUGCAGGCACGCCCCGACUACGCCAUGGCUUACGGUAAUCUUGCCACUAUCUACUAUGAGCAACGCCAGCUUGAUAUGGCAAUUCAUUGUUACAAUCAGGCUAUACUAUGUGAUUCUCGGUUUGUGGAAGCAUACAAUAACAUGGGCAAUGCACUUAAAGAUGCUGGGAGAGUAGAAGAGGCAAUUAAUUGCUUCCAAUCGUGCCUUGUAUUACAGGCAAACCAUCCACAGGCUCUUACUAACCUAGGAAACAUCUAUAUGGAGUGGAACAUGAUAAGUACUGCUGCUUCAUUCUACAAAGCAGCAAUUGCCGUUACAUCUGGGUUGUCUUCGCCACUCAACAAUUUAGCAGUCAUAUACAAGCAACAGGGAAGCUACGCUGAUGCUAUUGCAUGUUACACCGAAGUUCUUCGUAUAGAUCCUACUGCAGCUGAUGCACUUGUUAAUAGAGGAAAUACAUUUAAGGAGUUUGGAAGAGUGGCCGAGGCAAUUCAGGAUUACAUACAGGCUGUGACAAUCAGGCCAAAUAUGGCGGAAGCCCACGCGAACUUAGCCUCAGCUUAUAAAGAUAGUGGACAUCAAGAAGCAGCUAUAGCUAGCUAUAAACAAGCUCUUUGUCUGCGUCCUGAUUUUCCAGAAGUAACGUGCAACCUUCUUCAUACUCUACAGAGUGUUUGUGACUGGGAAAACAGAGAUACUAUGUUCCGUGAAGUUGAAGAGAUAAUCAGACGGCAGAUAAAGAUGUCACUUCUGCCAAGCGUGCAGCCAUUUCAUGCUAUUGCUUAUCCUAUUGAUCCUUUGCUCGCCUUGGAAAUUAGCCGCAAAUAUGCGAUCCAGUGUUCAUUAAUUGCUUCUCGCUUUGGUUUGCCACCAUUUGUCCACCCACCCCCUUUACCAGUGAAGGCAGAGGGUAAACAUGCCCGACUCAGGGUUGGAUAUGUUAGUAGUGAUUUUGGUAAUCACCCGCUUUCCCAUCUCAUGGGUUCAGUAUUUGGUAUGCAUGACCGUGACAAUGUUGAGGUUUUUUGCUAUGCGUUGAGUCAAAAUGAUGGCACUGAAUGGAGACAGCGUAUCCAGGCUGAGGCAGAGCAUUUCAUUGAUGUGUCUGCCAUGACAUCUGAUGUGAUAGCCAAAAUGAUAAAUGAAGACAAAAUACAAGUUUUAAUCAAUCUUAAUGGCUACACAAAGGGUGCGAGGAAUGAAAUUUUCGCGAUGCAACCAGCACCUAUUCAAGUUUCGUACAUGGGGUUCCCAGGGACGACAGGUGCUUCUUACAUAGACUACUUGGUCACAGAUGAGUUUGUUUCUCCAACUCGCUAUGCACAUAUAUACUCUGAAAAGCUUGUUCAUCUCCCACAUUGCUAUUUCGUCAAUGACUACAAGCAGAAAAAUUGUGAUGUCUUAGGUCCGGUAUGUCCGCAUGAAAGAUCAGAUUAUGGGUUACCCAAGGAUAAAUUCAUCUUUGCAUGCUUUAAUCAGCUCUACAAGAUGGACCCAGAAAUAUUUGAUACAUGGUGUAAUAUUGUCAAGCGUGUUCCAAACAGUGUAUUAUGGCUCCUAAGGUUUCCAGCCACUGGUGAAAUGAGAGUAAAAGCACAUGCUGCUGCAAGGGGAGUGAGCCCUGAUCAGAUCAUUUUCACAGAUGUUGCGAUGAAACAUGAGCAUAUCCGAAGAAGUGAAUUAGCAGACCUCUUCCUUGACACGCCCCUUUGCAAUGCACACACAACUGGUACCGACAUUCUUUGGGCUGGCUUGCCAAUGAUAACACUUCCUCUAGAGAAAAUGGCAACCAGAGUAGCUGGCUCCCUUUGUUUAGCGACUGGGCUUGGGGAUGAGAUGAUUGUUAGCAGCACGAAGGAGUACGAAGACCGAGCAGUUGAAUUGGCGACAAACCCGGCAAAACUCCAAGCACUGACCAAUAAGCUUAAAGAAGUUCGUUUAACCUGUCCUUUAUUUGACACUGCUCGAUGGGUUCGGAACCUUGAUAGGGCGUACUUCAAGAUGUGGAACAUUUAUUGCUCUGGGCGUCAUCCGGAGCCGUUUAAGGUAAAAGAAGACGACAGUGAGUUCCCAUAUGACAGAUGA